rnacentral:sRNA from 29 species
GGACCACUUCUUUUGAAGUCGAGGCCAUACGGACAGCCGGGUCCGCUGCCGA